UGGGGAAUCUUGGACAAUGGGCGCAAGCCUGAUCCAGCCAUGCCGCGUGGAUGAUGAAGGCCUUAGGGUUGUAAAAUCCUUUCGUGGGGGACGAUAAUGACGGUACCCCAAGAAGAAGCUCCGGCUAACUUCGUGCCAGCAGCCGCGGUAAUACGAAGGGGGCUAGCGUUGUUCGGAUUUACUGGGCGUAAAGCGCGUGUAGGCGGGUCGUUAAGUUGGGGGUGAAAUCCCGAGGCUCAACCUCGGAACUGCCUUCAAAACUGGCGACCUGGACUCAAGCAGAGGCAAGUGGAAUUGCGAGUGUAGAGGUGAAAUUCGUAGAUAUUCGCAGGAACACCAGUGGCGAAGGCGACUUGCUGGACUUAUGGUGACGCUGAGACGCGAAAGCGUGGGGAGCAAACAGGAUUAGAUACCCACGUAGUCCCUGAGCGGGCUGGCAAGGCGCAU
rnacentral:rRNA from 1 species